ACAGUUAUGUCCACUGAGCGGCGCCGUAGUCCGCAUUUUUAAGUUAGACAUGCGCGUGAAGGAGAGUUGGAAGCUUGAAUCCUUCCUUUAGCAAAUGCACGGUGUCAUGUAUGUGUUAAACAGUUGAACAAUGAUCGGGAGAGUGAACAACAGUUAUUUAAAAUGAAACUGCAGGGUGGAGAUAACUCUGUGUAUGAGUUGUUAGCGAUUCAUUCACCUACCUACCGCCGACACAGUCAAACAGUGUUGGUGCCUGUGGUUGUUGUGCCUAUGGAAGGCAGGGUCCUGGUCCUUUGUUCCAUCAUUCACACGUGAGAGAGACCAGACACCCAGAGGCCCAUCCACGCAGUAAACUUCCUCCCCACGCUCCUACAUGUUCUCCUCCAUCUGCCUCCUGUCCAUUGAUCUGCCUACCCAAGCAUCAGUCUGUUUAACAUCUGCUACAAGUUCCGCCAUCUCAGGUAACUAUCUAGCUGCUCUCCACAGUUUAUUGAUCUUCUUGUCCACCUGCAGUAACAUCUGUUUCAGUGUGUCUUUUGUCAAAUAAAUCAACUGCCUUGUUCACUUUCACUAACACACACUAACUUGUUUAGCUCAUUCAAUACUCAUAAGCCAAUCAAUAUCGUAGGCUAUAUCUAAACAAUUGAGGGGAAUCAAUUAUCAUGAUUUGAUAUAAUUGUAUUUUAAGCUAAUAAUAAUUACAAGAGAGAAAUUGUGUUGGUAUAUUUUUCUCCAAUAUUACAACUAACCAUAACAUUUAUUUUCUGAAAUUAAAAUUAUUUUUUGAUUAAACAAUUACUUUUAAUAACGCUUGCACCACGCAAUUGCAAAGGCCAAAGUUUGUGGUUUUGAGUUGAUUACUGAA
rnacentral:lncRNA from 1 species